rnacentral:rRNA from 1 species
AGAAUCAACGCUGGCGGCGUGCCUAACACAUGCAAGUCGCACGAGAAAGGGUAGCAAUACCUGAGUAAAGUGGCGCACGGGUGAGUAACACGUGAAUUAUCUACCUCCGAGUGGGGAAUAACUGAGAGAAAUCUUAGCUAAUACCGCAUAACACUUACGAGUCAAAGCAGCAAUGCGCUUGGAGAGGAGUUCGCGGCAGAUUAGUUAGUUGGCGGGGUAAUGGCCCACCAAGACGAUGAUCUGUAUCCGGCCUGAGAGGGCGCACGGACACACUGGAACUGAAACACGGUCCAGACUCCUACGGGAGGCAGCAGUGGGGAAUUUUGCGCAAUGGGGGAAACCCUGACGCAGCAACGCCGCGUGGAGGAUGAAAUAUCUUGGUAUGUAAACUCCUUUCGAUGGGGAAGAUUAUGACGGUACCCAUAGAAGAAGCCCCGGCUAACUCGCGCCAGUACGCCGC